UGAUAUAUAAACUGCAACACA
rnacentral:piRNA from 1 species